rnacentral:rRNA from 1 species
GACGAACGCUGGCGGCGUGCUUAACACAUGCAAGUCGAACGGAAAGGCCCUGCUUUUGUGGGGUGCUCGAGUGGCGAACGGGUGAGUAACACGUUAGUAACCUGCCCUUGACUUUGGGAUCACUUCAGGAAACUGGGGCUAAUACCGGAUAGGAGCUCCUGCUGCAUGGUGGGGGUUGGAAAGUUUCGGCGGUUGGGGAUGGACUCGCGGCUUAUCAGCUUGUUGGUGGGGUAGUGGCUUACCAAGGCUUUGACGGGUAGCCGGCCUGAGAGGGUGACCGGCCACAUUGGGACUGAGAUACGGCCCAGACUCCUACGGGAGGCAGCAGUGGGGAAUAUGGCACAAUGGGCGGAAGCCUGAUGCAGCAACGCCGCGUGCGGGAUGACGGCCAGCGGGUUGUAAACCGCUUUCGCCUGUGACGAAGCGUGAGUGACGGUAAUGGGUAAAGAAGCACCGGCUAACUACGUG